GGGCCUGUAGCUUAGCUUGGCUGGAGCACUCGACUGAUAAUCGAGGGUCGCCUGUUCAAAUCAGGCCAGGCCCACCA
rnacentral:tRNA from 1 species